AAAUAUUAAAGGGGAUUCUUUGAGCAAAGAGAGAUCCCCAAAGUAACAAAGACCAGAAAAGGAAGAGACAAGCUCCAGGAACAGCAACUUAACAGGUAAUGCAAUUAUAAUCCCUAUCUGCUGAAGAAGAGAAAUGACUUUACAUUGAGAUGUGCAUCAAAAGUAACUUAGAGUAGCAGAUCCUUGUCACAUCUCUGAGACUUGUCUUGUCAAUCAUUAGCUGUCAAGAGUAUUCAUCCUGUCACUUUGAUUAAAGAGAGAAAAAAGAAGAAGAGAGUACACAGUCAAGCAUAGGAGCAUAAUCUUUCUUCUAUUUUAUGCUGGAAAAGAAUAGAUUUCCAUGAUGUCACUAACUUUCAAAGGCAGCAGAGAAAUAAUAUAAUAGCUGGAAGGAGAUAGAAUGAUCAACCUGCUUGAUACUCCUGUGUUUGUAAGAAUGUCUCUGCCAAUGCCUUUUGUUGCAUGAACCCAGCCUGAAGAUGGAGGGCACAGGGCACAGAAGACUAUAUACACAGAGGAGUCUCGGAAAUGUGGUUCUAUGCCGUUCACAUUGGAGAAAAGCAAGUGUGGGGAUUUGGGGAUAUCAGAACAAAGGCUCAGUUCAUCAACAUGCCAUCUAUUUUGCUCUGUUAAUUGUCUACCUAUUUAAGUGUUAGAACUACACCUUUUUGUGGCAGUUUUAUUAAAUAUUUUU